rnacentral:snRNA from 1 species
GUGCAAACUUCAGCAGCAUAAGUACUAAAACUGGAAUGACAGAGAGAAGGUUAGCAUGGCCCUUGUACAAGGAUGACUUGCAAAUUCAUGACAUGUUCCAUAUUUUU